UUCCCCAGCCAUUCUGGGCGACUUACGGCUUAUCUAAAAACAUAAUAAGAACAUCAAGUGUUUAAUCCUCCUGAUAGAGGGCUGCCUAUAUUAUUAUUCUUAUUAUAAGUUCAGCUACAGCCGAGGGGCAUGGGCUCCCUAUUUCUGCACAAGAGUACAAACUGGACUCCCCCUUUGUUGUUUAUACAUUGUAGUACGCAAAAUUCCUUGUAAUCCUCAUCUAAUUUAGAUUCCUAAUUACCCAGUAAGGCAGUUGACUUGUUAUCAUUUCCUGGGGGAUGGGAUGAGGUCAGAAGAUGGGGAAUUCCCCAUAGCCGCUUGACGAAAUGCAGAAUGACUCGAUGAAAAGCCAGUUCCUCCCAGCCAUGUCUGCUCUCAACGUUGACUUGAAAAGCUCCAACUGGGUUGACUUCCAAGGAAAGAAAUAGAAGCCAGAGGUUCCUAGAAUCCCCAGCGCUGUCAUAAGAUCUCUUUGCAAACCACAAACACGUCCCAAGGUCCCCGCUAUGAGGAAAGAAGCAGCCUUGAAUCCCAAAGGAAAUGGCUGAAAGUGAGAGAAAGGACUUUAAAAAGAAAAAAAGAAAACAGUUUUUUAAAAAUAGCACAGAGAAUCUAGAAAGCACAAACUUCCGUCCACAAAUGGUCACUCUGUGGACCCGGCAGCUUUCCUAGUGCUGUGCAGGCAGAGGGGAAAGUGCCAUGGAGAACAUAAAGAAUUAGGAGGGCAGGUUCCAGCGCUUACUGAGACAAGGCUGUUACAUAGACUCUGCAUAUGUUUCCGACUACAAUCUUCCUUUUCCAGGAGCUUGGAAAACUUGCAAGUUCCUUAUAUUCAGAAACAAUCUGUUCAGAAAAAUCUGAGCCCCAGAAGCACCUCUGAACAACUCUUUGUAAACUGCACUGAAGUUUCCCCUUACAGUCAAGUGGUGUAUACAUUUUAUGAAAUAAAUAAACAAGUUGCAACACCA